UUUCUUACUUUGGCAACAUACUAAAAUUGGAACUAUACAGGGAAGAUUAGCAUGGCCCUGCGAAAGGAUGACAUGCAAAUUUGGGAAGAGUUAGGGUAGGAGGUUGGU